rnacentral:rRNA from 1 species
UACGGGGGGGCAAGCGUUGUUCGGAAUUACUGGGCGUAAAGGGCUCGUAGGCGGCCAACUAAGUCAGACGUGAAAUCCCUCGGCUUGAACCGGGGAACUGCGUCUGAUACUGGAUGGCUUGAGUUUGGGAGAGGGAGUGCGGAAUUCCAGGUGUAGCGGUGAAAUGCGUAGAUAUCUGGAGGAACACCGGUGGCGAAGGCGGCAUCCUGGACCAACACUGACGCUGAGUGAGCGAAAGCCAGGGAGCAACGGG